rnacentral:rRNA from 1 species
AUGCGUAGAAGUGUUUGGCGUAAGCCUGCAUGGAGCUGCCAUUGGUACAGAUCUUGGUGGUAGUAGCAAAUAAUCGAAUGAGACCUUGGAGGACUGAAGUGGAGAAGGGUUUCGUGUGAACAGUGGUUGAUCACGAGUUAGUCGGUCCUAAGUUCAAGGACGAAAGCCGAAAAUUUUCAAGUAAAAUACAAAUGCCAAACAAAUAUAUAUAUUAUAUAAAAUCUAGCUAAAUUAAUAUACUUGAAUAAUUUUGAACGAAAGGGAAUACGGUUCCAAUUCCGUAACCUGUUGAGUAUCCGUUUGUUAUUAAAUAUGGGCCUCGUGCUCAUCCUGGCAACAGGAACGACCAUAAAGAAGCCGUCGAGAGAUAUCGGAAGAGUUUUCUUUUCUGUUUUAUAGCCGUACUACCAUGGAAGUCUUUCGCAGAGAGAUAUGGUAGAUGGGCUAGAAGAGCAUGACAUAUACUGUUGUGUCGAUAUUUUCUCCUCGGACCUUGAAAUUUAUGGUGGGGACACGCAAACUUCUCAACAGGCCGUACCAAUAUCCGCAGCUGGUCUCCAAGGUGAAGAGUCUCUAGUCGAUAGAAUAAUGUAGGUAAGGGAAGUCGGCAAAUUAGAUCCGUAACUUCGGGAUAAGGAUUGGCUCUGAAGAUUGAGAUAGUCGGGCUUGAUUGGGAAACAAUAACAUGGUUUAUGUGCUCGUUCUGGGUAAAUAGAGUUUCUAGCAUUUAUGUUAGUUACUUGUUCCCCGGAUAGUUUAGUUACGUAGCCAAUUGUGGAACUUUCUUGCUAAAAUUUUUAAGAAUACUAAUUGGGUUAAACCAAUUAUGAUGGCCCUAGCGGGUGUUGACACAAUGUGAUUUCUGCCCAGUGCUCUGAAUGUCAAAGUGAAGAAAUUCAAGUAAGCGCGGGUCAACGGCGGGAGUAACUAUGACUCUCUUAAGGUAGCCAAAUGCCUCGUCAUCUAAUUAGUGACGCGCAUGAAUGGAUUAACGAGAUUCCUACUGUCCCUAUCUACUAUCUAGCGAAACCACAGCCAAGGGAACGGGCUUGGAAUAAUUAGCGGGGAAAGAAGACCCUUUUGAGCUUGACUCUAAUCUUGGCAGUGUAAGGAGACAUAAGAGGUGUAGAAUAAGUGGGAGAUACUAGACCUCGGUUUGGUAUCGCCAAUGAAAUACCACUACUCUUAUUGUUUCCUUACUUACUUGAUUAAAUGGAACGUGUAUCAUUUCCUAGCCAUUAUACGGAUAUAUUUAUUAUAUCUUAUGGUAUUGGGUUUUGAUGCAAGCUUCUUGAUCAAGUAUCACGAGUUUGUUAUAUAAUCGCAACAAUUCUUUAAUAACGGUGCAUUUAUGUAUUUUUGAUUUGAAUUUGGUAUAACUCCAAUUACUCAGGUAUGAUCCAAUUCAAGGACAUUGCCAGGUAGGGAGUUUGACUGGGGCGGUACAUCUCUCAAAUAAUAACGGAGGUGUCCCAAGGCCAGCUCAGUGCGGACA